rnacentral:rRNA from 1 species
ACCGGCGCACGGGUGAGUAACACGUAUGCAACCUACCUUCAACACGGGGAUAACCCGUUGAAAGACGGACUAAUAUCCGAUAAUACAGGGGCACCGCUUGGUGAUAUUUGUUAAAGAUUAAUCGGUUGAAGAUGGGCAUGCGUAUGAUUAGCUAGUUGGCGGGGUAACGGCCCACCAAGGCAACGAUCAUUAGGGGUUCUGAGAGGAAGGUCCCCCACACUGGUACUGAGACACGGACCAGACUCCUACGGGAGGCAGCAGUGAGGAAUAUUGGUCAAUGGGCGCGAGCCUGAACCAGCCAAGUCGCGUGAAGGAUGACGGUCCUAUGGAUUGUAAACUUCUUUUGUGCAGGAAUAAAGUGAGGAACGUGUUCCUUUUUGUAUGUACUGUACGAAUAAGCAUCGGCUAACUCCGUGCCAGCAGCCGCGGUAAUACGGAGGAUGCGAGCGUUAUCCGGAUUUAUUGGGUUUAAAGGGUGCGUAGGCGGGCUGAUAAGUCAGUGGUGAAAGUUUGCAGCUUAACUGUAAAAUUGCCAUUGAAACUGUUAGUCUUGAGUGCAAAUGAGGUAGGCGGAAUGUGUUGUGUAGCGGUGAAAUGCUUAGAUAUAACACAGAACUCCGAUUGCGAAGGCAGCUUACUGGGAUGCAACUGACGCUGAUGCACGAAAGCGUGGGUAUCAAACAGGAUUAGAUACCCUGGUAGUCCACGCAGUAAACGAUGAAUACUAACUGUUUG